rnacentral:lncRNA from 1 species
CUCAUGCUGUCAUUUCCAGUCACUUGAGAAGUACUCCUCCCCACUCCCAUAUCUGGCCAGGGACAUCUCCCAGUUGCUAAUACUCAGUUCUGUUUUUCCUCUUUCUUUUGAUUUCUCUGCAGGAGACAAUGCCAUCUUCCUCACCGUUUUACAACACAACUGUAAAUUCAACUUCUGGACAUCCAUCUGGAAGCACAACUGUCCAGGCAGAUUGUUCUUCUGGGUUAUAUGAGCCCUGGGUGGUUGGAGUAGCUGCAGGGAUACCCAGCAUUCUGGCCUUGGUCCUUGCAGUCAUCUUGGUGGUCGUCUGUGUUCUCCAGUGGAAGAACUACAGCUGGAAUCAGGUGACUACCUUCCAUCUCCUAGUGUCUUGCUACUUCCAAACCUAGACCUCCACAUCAGAAACCUGAUUUAAU